CCGAGGGCAGGGCGAGGGGGCAGAACGAGCCCCCGCUUCCCCCCGCGCCAGGAGCCCGGGAAGCGGGGGCAGCGAGGCCCGUCCCACCGGGACGCAGCACCCCGCGCGCCACCCGGCUUCGUGGUGGCCACGUGGCCAGGAGCCGAGCUCGGGCAGGCCCCGGGGAGGGGACGCGUGCCGUGGCACCACGAGGUGCGCCCCCCCCGGCACCCGGCACGGCCCCGGGGCAGGGCUGGCGGCGGCCUCACGCCGGCCCCGCUGGUUCUCCCUCGUUUGCCCUAAGGAGCGAGUGGCGGCCGUCGCCCACAGGCUGCUUUCAAGGUGCCCUCGCCGCCACGCGGCGCCGCCUGCCCCAAAACCACAUCAAGGUGCCCGGCCCCGAGCACCCCGGCGCGCGCGGAGCCGCCCCGCGCGGCCGUGCCGCCACAGCCCCGGGCUGUGCCGAGGGUUUGGGGACGGCCUGGCCCGGUUCCACCACGCGGGGACCCCCGGGCUGCUGCCCCGAGGCCACCGGGCAGGGUGGUGGCACCGCGGGGACGUGCCGUGGCCACCAAAGGGACCCCCGGGCACGGCGCUCGCCCGGGGCCACCGAGCUCUGUGCGCCCGUCACGGGUGGCGCAACGUCCCCGCAGCCCGGGGAAGGGGACGAUGCCGCAGGGCCCCCCCGCUGGCGUCCCCGCACCCUGGUGGCCCCCUGGGGUGACACGGGGUGGCCCCGUGGGGUGACACGGGGUGGCCGGCCUGGCGGCCCCCGUGGCACUGCCCCAAGCCGGGUAGGCCUGUCCCAGCUGUCCCCACGCGUGGCCCUGCCUCAGUUUCCCCGCGCUGCAGGUCGGCUGCCCCCCACCCCAGGCGGGAAGGGGCUGGGGGAGACCCCCCCUCCCCCCAAGACCCCAAAGGGACCCCAGGGUGCUGGGUUUGGAAACGGUCCCGGUGCCCAUCUGAUCCCAACCAGGGGUGUCCGGGGGGCGCAGCCACCCCAAAAGACACAGAGAGACCCAGAUGGGAGGGGGCAAAAGGGGGGGGACAAAGGGUGCAGGGAAGUAACCCCCCCACACACACUGCCCAGGCUGGGACCUGCUCUGCCACCCACCCCCAAAGCCGGGGACCCCCAGACCCACGGCCAUGGGGCAGCACAGCCCC
rnacentral:lncRNA from 1 species